AAUUAAGCUAACGAAGUCUUUCAUUGAGGACCUCAUGUUCCACAAUUUCAAUCAACCAUAGGGUACUUGGAAAAAGGUUCCUGAUCACAUCAGGGGUGGAUGGUUGAGGGAAUUCUUGGAGAAGUUUAGGUGGCUGCCCGAGCAUCACUCUGAUUUGGUUGUUGCUUGGGCUCAUUGAGCUUCAAAGUGGUAUGCUGAUAAAUUGUAUAAAUUCAGGACUAAUAAGGGCAAUCAAGCCUGGUGUGAUCCUAAAACUCAGAAAAUAUUAAAGGAAAAGUGGAGCGCAGAUAAGGCGUUUAGGAGGAAGUCUGAGCAGAAUAAGUUGAAUAGGAUGCACUUGACCACAAGUUGAAUAGGAUGCACUUGACCACACCUUUAUAUGCCGGAGACUCCAUUCCAUUCAGUGAGCACUGGAGGAGAAAAAUUUCACUAGUGGGGAUGUGCCUCCAAAAUCUCUCGAUUGGGUUGCAUUUGAGAGGACCCAUUCCCAAGAGUCACAAGCUGGGAAGCGGUGGAUUAACCGCAAAUAAGGUGAAAUAGUGGAGACCUACUAGAAGCUCCAACACUAGAGGGCGACGCAGGCGGCUGUAGAUGGUGCAUAUGCCUCUUCUCAGUCUGAUAACGACCUUUUCCUUCAGGCUGUUGGAGGAUUCAAUAGGAAUGGAAGAGUGUUCGGGCUAGGAGCAUCUGCCAACCGAUACAAGAGUAGUAAGCGGUCUUCCAUCCAGGUUAGAGCUAUAUCUCAAGAUGAAAUGAAUAAAAUGCAAGAGUUGGUGAAACAAUUGAACGCUUCUCAUCAAGAGAUGACAUCUCAAUUAGAUGGCGAACUAAAGGAUACAAAGAAGAUGUUGAUUGACAUGCAGAAAUUGUUUUCCAAGUUCAUGAAAAAGAAAGAGAAGAAGAAGAAGAAGAAGGAUGGAGAGCCUCUGUACCUACAGAGCCUUCAGUAUUUAUAGAUGACUCUUCAUCUUCCUCUGGUGAUGAUUAGGCGUCACUUUUUGAUACAUUGUUUACAAUUGUUAUUGUUUUUAUCCUUGUUUGGUUUAUACAUAUUUUUGUAUUGUUUAGGAUUA